AAAACUAUUAAGAAUUUGUUUAAAUAAAAUCUGUUCAUUAUCAGCUUAAGAUUUGGUAUACUCCUCAUCGGGGAGUUCAAAUGUUAAACUAAUUUUUGGAAAGCAGGAGGAGAAUUUGGGGCUUGCUCCUAUUCCACCGCGAGUUAUCCCGGUAUUGCAGUACUACCAGAAACAGUCCAAUAUCA